GUUUCUAAAUAAUAAAAAUGAAUUUUGAUUUUUAGUAAAAAUUUUAAAAUAUUUUUAAAAGACGAGAAGACCCUAUAAAUCUUUAUUUUUAGAAUUUAUAUUAAUUAAGUUUUAAAUUUUUUAUAAAAUAUAUAAAAAUUUAAUUGGGGUGAUUAUGAAAUUUAAUAAACUUUUAUUUAUAUAUAAUAAAUUAAUUAAAUUUUAUAUCCAAUAAAU
rnacentral:rRNA from 1 species